UACAGAGGGGGCAAGCGUUGUUCGGAAUUACUGGGCGUAAAGGGCGCGUAGGCGGCCCGCUAAGUCGAACGUGAAAUCCCCAGGCUCAACCUGGGAACUGCGUCCGAUACUGGCAGGCUUGAAUCCGGGAGAGGGAUGUGGAAUUCCAGGUGUAGCGGUGAAAUGCGUAGAUAUCUGGAGGAACACCGGUGGCGAAGGCGGCAUCCUGGACCGGUAUUGACGCUGAGGCGCGAAAGCUAGGGGAGCAAACGGGG
rnacentral:rRNA from 1 species